UUGACCUCGGAUCAGGUAGG
rnacentral:rRNA from 139 species